rnacentral:lncRNA from 1 species
AAAAAAUUUCAUAAUUUUUGGAAACUUAAAAAAAUUUUUAAACAAUUAAAAAUAUUCACAAAAUCAAUUCAAUUAUGAAAAAUAUUAAUAAUGAUACAAAAAAUAAUUUUAAUUUAGAAAAUAAUAGAGGAAUUUAUUUAAAUUUUUUUGGUGAAACUCUCAUAUUUUUUGGAUCAAUAUUAAAAUUAAUAUGAAUUAAUGAAAAUAAACCAAAUAAAAUAAAAAUCAGAAAAUAAG